rnacentral:lncRNA from 1 species
CCUUCAUAUGAAAUGCUGAGAGUUGAGAAAUCAAUAAACGAAGAAAUUAGAUUAAUAUUUGCUUAAGGCUGGAGGAAACGGAAGAAAAAAAGGAAAUAGCUAAAGCGUAGGAAGUAAAGGGAGUUUCUGAGCCGAUGAAAAUAUUCUGUGAUGAAACAAUUGUUGAACGUAUCUGUGAAGAGACUAAAAAAUAUUGAAUUGUCCGCUUUAAAUGUGUGAAUUGUAUGAUAUAUGAAUUAUCUUUUAAGAAAGUUGUUUAAAAUUUUAAAAAGAAAAAUUGAAAUCUAAUUUUUUUUUUUUUUUUUUUUUUUUGAGACAGGGUCUCACUUUGUAGACUAGGCUGGAGUACAGUGACACAAUCAUGGUUCACAGUAGCCUUGAAGUCCUCAGCUCAAGCCAUUCUCCAACCUCACUAUCUCUAUUAACUGGGACCACAGGAGAAACUGGAAAAAAUGACAUAUAAUAUGUAUAUCCAGACUGGUAAGGAUGUUUUCCUUUUGUUUUUCCAUAAGAAAACAAAUUUCAGACCAAUGAAAAAACCU